rnacentral:rRNA from 1 species
AGCUCCAAUAGCGUAUAUUAAAGUUGUUGCAGUUAAAAAGCUCGUAGUUGGAUUUCUGGUGGGAGUGACACGCCCGCCCUGUUUGGGUGGGGUCUGUUGUCGUCGCCCGCCAUCCUUGGGGAGAGCACGUCUGGCAUUAGGUUGUCGGGUGUGUGAUCCCCAUCCUUUACUGUGAAAAAAUUAGAGUGUUUAAAGCAGGCUUACGCCGUUGAAUACAUUAGCAUGGAAUAAUAAGAUAGGACUUUGGUGGUCUAUUUUGUUGGUUUGCACGCCAAGGUAAUGAUUAAUAGGGAUGGUUGGGGGUAUCCGUAUUUCGUAGUCAGAGGUGAAAUUCUUGGAUUUACGAAAGACGAACUACUGCGAAAGCAUUUACCAAGGAUGUUUUCAUUAAUCAAGAACG